CAGUAGCCACGGUAAUACGAAGGGGGCUAGCGUUGCUCGGAUUUACUGGGCGUAAAGGGCGCGUAGGCGGACAGUUUAGUCAGUGGUGAAAGCCCGGGGCUCAACCUCGGAAUUGCCUUUGAUACUGGCUGUCUUGAGUACGGGAGAGGUGUGUGGAACUCCGAGUGUAGAGGUGAAAUUCGUAGAUAUUCGGAAGAACACCAGUGGCGAAGGCGACACACUGGCCCGUUACUGACGCUGAGGCGCGAAAGCGUGGGGAGCAAACAGGAUUAGAUACCCCUGUAGUCCCUGUCUCUUAUAC
rnacentral:rRNA from 1 species